AUACUUAACUGCCUGGGGAGAUACCAUGAACAUGAAGGUGGUUUUCCCAGGGCGAGGCUUAUCUAUCCAUUGUACUCUGGAUGUGUUGACCCCUGCAAUUUCCCCAAAUGUGGGAAACUCGACUGCAGAAUUUGUGGUAGUGGAGGGCUAUGUUCAUGCUUUCCCC